rnacentral:tRNA from 2 species
GCCCCCAUGGUGUAGCGGUUAGCACGCCAGGUUUUCAACCUGGUAGCAGGGGUUCGAUUCCCCUUGGGGGUA